AGCAGUAUGGUGCAAUGAUGCACGCGGGAUGUUCCUAGGUGUUCGAGGCAUGUGUAAUUUCCGAGGUCCUUGUUCGAAUCAAGGUACUGCUA